GGCGACCCGCCCACCCCGCUCGCAGCCAAUGAAAAACGAGGUCCGCAGGAGGCUGCUGUACGGCGGCCCGCAAAGGCCCUUUUACGCCGUAAAGCGAAACUCAUCUCUGGGAAAGAGGAGGAGGAGGGGAGGGGUGAAAUCUCGAAGCUUCGAAAAGCGCGGGCAACAUCCGGGCACUCGGGGCCGUCAAGCUGAGGCGCGUCUUGCGACCCGACUGGUUAGGGCCCCAGCCAUGCUGAAGUGCGGAAUGGGCGGCAGUCAGGUGAAAGUGUUUGGGAAAGCAAUCCAAGCUCUAUCACGAGUUAGUGACGAGCUGUGGCUGGACCCAUCUGAAAAAGGUCUUGCUUUAAGAUCUGUGAAUUCUUGUCGGUCAGCAUAUGGAUGUGUUCUCUUCUCUCCUGUCUUUUUUCAACAAUAUCAAUGGUCAACUUCAGUGAAAAUGAAUGAUAAUGACACAAUAUCGAAUUUAAAUUGCAAAUUGGGUAUGAAGUCAAUUCUCCCCAUCUUUAAAUGUCUGAAUUCCCUCGAAAGAAAUGUAGAGAGCUGCAAAAUAUUCACCAGAUCAGAUAAGUGCAAAGUAGUCAUUCAAUUCUUCUGCAGACAUGGUAUUAAAAGGACUCACAAUGUGUGUUUUCAAGAAAGUCAGCCUUUGCAAGUUAUUUUUGAAAAGAGUACGUGUUCUAAUACACUAAUGAUUCAACCAAGAGUGCUUGCUGAAGCAAUUGUUCUUUUUACAUCAAGUCAAGAGGAAGUUACUCUUGCCGUUACUCCAUUCAAUGUUUGCAUUAAGAGUUCUAAUGAGGAAUCAAUGGAUUUGACCAGUUCUGUACACAGUGAGAUGUUCGUUGGCCCAGAUGAGUUUGACUUCUUUCAAAUUGGAGUUGAUACUGAAAUAACAUUUUGCUUCAAAGAAUUGAAGGGAAUGCUGAUAUUUUCAGAAGCUACACAUGCUCCUAUAUCCAUUCAUUUUGAUUUUCCUGGGAAACCUAUGGCUCUAAGUAUUGAUGAUAUGUUACUGGAAGCUAACUUUAUUUUGGCCACAUUAGCUGAUGAGCCGAGUAGAGCAUCUUCUCCACAAUCACUGUGUCUGUCACAGAAACGAAAAAGGUCAGAUCUGAUACGUUCAAAUUCAAAGGCUGGUAAAAAUGUAACCAGCAAGGCCCUGGAGCAUAUCUCGAGAAAAGCGGCACCCAAAAGGCUUUGUCCUAAUGAGACGCUAACAGACAUCUCUGCCUUGGAAAACUGUGGCAGCCCUCCACUGAAAAGAGUGAGCGGAGAUGUUGGUGAAGUACCAGCAAGCAGUGUCAGGCGCGCGGAGGAAGUGCUGGCGUCUCCGUGUCUCAGGAAGACGGAAAACAAGAUGAUUAAUCACCGCAGGGAGAAGACAGAAGACAGUGAAGACAGAAGACGGCAGCGUGAUGAAAAGAACCCCCCUUCUUACAAAGGAUUUAAAUUGCAGGCAAGAUUCUACAAUGCGGGAUCUCCAUCAACACUAAGCAGAGGCUGAUUUUAAAUGCGGAUGGCAACUGCAAGGAAGGCCUUCUAGUAAGCAGAAAGAUGCUGGCAAUUAGCAGAAACUUAAUAACACCCUUUCCGUGAGUCUGCUUAGAAGGCUGGCGCUGGUACAGAGAUUUUUCACGGGUCCAAAGAGCUCUUGGUGAGUUCACAGUCUGCCUGAGACUCCUUUCUCAAGAGGAAACUAGUGUUCAAGAAAGGGGCAAGAGUGAUGGAGGAGUAGAUGAAACAAGAUUGGCCAAGAAUGGAUAACAAGUUGAAUGAGAGCUUUGUUCUAGGCCAAAAGUUCAAGGAAAAAAGGCUUGGUAAGCUGAAAUUGUGGAAGCUUAAAAAUCUUAUGUUUCCAAUUGCAUAUGGCCACUUAACCGUGGAGUUGCAAAAGGCUCACCUUGAAAGACACUGAACUAAGCUAACACUAGCCUGAGUCUCCCCAGCACUGUCCUCUGUUUAUCAGCCAUCGGCAUGAGGCUGCCAUUCCUCCUAAACCCUUCCUGCCACACUCACUUUCAGACUGACAUGCAAUUAGUGGCAAGGCAAACAUUCUCCAGGAGAAAGUAAUGCCCAAAAAGCAAAUACUAAAUUUCAAUUUUAAUAUAAGCAUCAGUGAAGAAAAAUCUGGCAGAUCUCAUCCAAACAUAGGCUCUGGCAGAAUUUCAAACAUUAAGCAGCAACCAAAGGUAACAGCUUUAUCCCUUGCAUCUUUGAUGGUCCUGAAGCACUCCACAUCGGGCUUCACACUAAUGAAGCAAGAUGGUUCUACAGGGAUUUUUCUCCAUCAAUGAAACACAUCUCCUAUCUACUAGCAUGGGUACUUGAGAGUGAAUUGCAACUCCGGAGGAGAAACUAAGUAAGAAUCCAGCUGGACCACAAGGGCUGAGCAAGAAGAGCAGCAGGAGACCCGGUGCACGAGGAGCGAUCUGGUUUCACACGCUCCGCAGCGAGCGCCCCCCUAAGGAAGAAGCGAUCAGGCGGUAUUCAGCUCGGUGCUGCGGCCCACUUCUGUUUAGAUGCAGAGGCUCUUCUUCAAAGACUAUCAUCUAGCGUUUGCACAGCCAGCCUUGCCUGUCUACAACAUCACAACAUGAAGCAUGAUAACCAGAGAAAAAGGAGACCGAAGUAUAAACUCAAUUUCUAUCAAAUGCAACAGAUCACAUUUGUAUCAACAUUUCUGAAACCUCAACUAUUUGGGCAAUAAGAACACUCCCCUGUGAUUCAGGACUGUGAAAUGUUGUAUCUGCAAAUAAUUAUCCCAAAGGGAACAAAAGGCAGGAUUACUGAAAAAAUAUAUUCAAUAGUUGAGUUAUUCAGAAAAGUACAAUUUGCUUUGACUAACAGUCCUUUCAGUUCUCUAGAGGUGAAAUUAUACAGAUUAUGAUGUUCUUCCUGCCUUAACAAGCAAGUGAUAGAUUCCCUUUGCAACCACUCUGCAUUAAUCACAACGAAACUCGCGUCUUCCGAUUCUCCAGAGACUUCGUCUACGCCAAGAGCUCAAGGUCUCUAAGCAGAACUGCUAACUCAAAAGCUGAGGCAACGGAGCUCAAAGGAUGGAAAGGAAGAAAGAUUCAACCCUGUGAUAAAAUGUGUGAAAAUGGACCCAAAUGCUAAAGAAAUGGAACUGUCCAAGACAGUUAACAAAACUCAAAUAUGGCCUCAAAGCAGGAAUAAAUGGUCAAUUUUAUGUUUUAGAAUUCCAAACAAAAGAGUUAUUCCCUUUCUAGCUUAAUACACAUGAAAUCUUU